rnacentral:rRNA from 1 species
ACCAGACUCCUACGGGAGGCAGCAGUGAGGAAUAUUGGUCAAUGAGCGCGAGCCUGAACCAGCCAAGUCGCGUGAGGGAAGACGGCCCUACGGGUUGUAAACCUCUUUUGCCGGGGAGCAACGGGCGCCACGUGUGGCGCCACUGAGAGUACCCGGAGAAAAAGCAUCGGCUAACUCCGUGCCAGCAGCCGCGGUAAUACGGAGGAUGCGAGCGUUAUCCGGAUUUAUUGGGUUUAAAGGGUGCGUAGGCGGGAUGCCAAGUCAGCGGUAAAAAUGCGGGGCUCAACGCCGUCGAGCCGUUGAAACUGACGGUCUUGAGUGGGCGAGAAGUAUGCGGAAUGCGUGGUGUAGCGGUGAAAUGCAUAGAUAUCACGCAGAACUCCGAUUGCGAAGGCAGUAUACCGGCGCCCAACUGACGCUGAAGCACGAAAGCGUGGGUAUCGAACAGGAUUAGAUACCCCGGUAAUG